UCUAGUGUAGUCAAACUAAUGACGCAGGAUUUAAGCUCUUGAGGUAUAUUAAUUUCUAGAA
rnacentral:tRNA from 1 species